rnacentral:rRNA from 1 species
GACAGAGGUGCCGAGCGUUAGGCGGAAUCACUGGGCUUAAAGCGUGUGUAGGCGGACUCGUAAGUGCUUUGUGAAAUCCCACGGCUCACCCGUGGAACUGCUUGGCAUACUGCGAGCCUUGAGCCACUUAGGGGCAACCGGAACAAACGGUGGAGCGGUGAAAUGCGUAGAUAUCGUGAGGAAGACCAGUGGCGAAGGCGGGUCUCUGGACAGUUCCUGACGCUGAGGCACGAAGGCCAGGGGAGCAAACGGG